CCCAAAAUGAUGCUGGCCCUGCAACUAUUGGAUUCAAGUUCUUCAAGAAGAUUGGCACAUAUCUAUAUUUCUUUGAUUAUCUCUAGGUUCCAUUUUACUCUCUAUUGAUAUUAUUAUUAGGCUUUCUCCAUGUAUUUCAGAAUAGCUCUGACAAUUCUAGGUUUGUCAUCUUCACAGGUAACAAUACCAGGAAAGGACAGACGGCCCUGCUGUAGGUUAACAUUGACUCCUGGAUAAUCGCUAUGUUCAGCUGUACUGAGGUUGAUUACUGGAGCUCUCACUUCCAGCUUCAUCUAUACUGGCAGGCUGAAGGCUCUAUGAUUCCAGUCAUUCUAAUGUGUGGUGAUCCAGGUGACCAAAGUUCACUGCCUUCAAAUCCUAACCACAAGUUGACUGCCCUGUGUCAUGAAGAUGCAACAUUUACUAAAAGUUUCAUGUUUAGGAAUGGCUGGAGGCAGAAGAAGCAAUGUUUCGGAAUUUUGGAAAACAACACAUAGAUCAAGCUUCCAUGUGACAGAUUUCCUAACAGCUGUGAUGUUUGCCAAGGAAAUUCUGCUGGAAGCCCCAGAUACUGAAUUCAAAGUAAGUCACACAUCCCAUUCAAAAAACAAUCUAAAUAUGAAUAAUGUGCUUUGGAGAAUAGGGCCUAGAAGAAAAACUCACUCUAGCCUGCAAUUCUGAAUAGUGCAUUGAUGCAUAUUCCAUUCAUGAGGGAAAUUUAUUUAUUGACUUAUGUACCUUGAUAUUAUGUUACUCUUUUAGCAGAUAGUACUCAUUCCUGAGAUAAUUCUAAAAUAAAAAUCAUUAAGAGCCUACUAAUUAAUUACCC
rnacentral:lncRNA from 12 species